rfam:Dictyocaulus viviparus strain HannoverDv2000 D_viviparus-1.0_Cont143.31, whole genome shotgun sequence.
UUAACUCGUAUCUGAAGAGAGCCGUCUAUUGACAGUUCGCUAUGGACGCUGUCAUGGAGCAGCUCUCUUCAGAUGAACCAAU